GACGAACGCUGGCGGCGUGCUUAACACAUGCAAGUCGAACGGAAAGGCCCUGCUUUUGUGGGGUGCUCGAGUGGCGAACGGGUGAGUAACACGUGAGUAACCUGCCCUUGACUUUGGGAUAACUUCAGGAAACUGGGGCUAAUACCGGAUAGGAGCUCCUGCUGCAUGGUGGGGGUUGGAAAGUUUCGGCGGUUGGGGAUGGACUCGCGGCUUAUCCGCUUGUUGGUGGGGUAGUGGCUUACCAAGGCUUUGACGGGUAGCCGGCCUGAGAGGGUGACCGGCCACAGUGGGACUGAGAUACGGCCCAGACUCCUACGGGAGGCAGCAGUGGGAAAUAUUGCACAAUGGGCGGAAGCCUUAUGCAGCAGCGCCGCGUGCGGGAUGACGGCCUUCGUGUUGUAAACCGCUUUCGCCUGUGACGAAGCGUGAGUGACGGUAAUGGGUAAAGAAGCACCGGCUAACUACGUG
rnacentral:rRNA from 1 species